rnacentral:rRNA from 1 species
GUAUAAGAGACAGCAGCCGCCACGGGAAUACAGAGGCCUCAAGCGUUGUUCGGAUUCAUUGGGCGUAAAGGGUGCGUAGGUGGCUUGGUAAGUUGAAGGUGAAAUCUCGGGGCUUAACCCCGAAACUGCCUUCAAUACUGCUAGGCUCGAGGACUGUAGAGGAGAAUGGAAUUCACGGUGUAGCAGUGAAAUGCGUAGAUAUCGUGAGGAAGACCAGUGGCGAAGGCGAUUCUCUGGGCAGUUCCUGACACUGAGGCACGAAGGCCAGGGGAGCAAACGGGAUUAGAUACCCCUGUAGUCCCUGUCUCUUAUAC